rnacentral:lncRNA from 1 species
AUGUCGCCCCUGUGCGGGGUGGACAGUGGGCCUGGCAUCAGGAGGGCCUUGCGUGUGGCUGAGGGCAGGGCAGAUGUGAGCCCUGCUCGGGUGGGCCAUGGGCUGAGGCGCCCCCUGCCCCAUCCUGCCCAUGGUGGAGGCCCUGUCAUGUCCCUGUGGGCUGGGCCCUGGUCACCAGUCCCUCUGCCGUGGCUCUGGCCAGGCCUGGCUCCUCCUCGACCCCUGGGAGCCAGUAGCAGCAGGGUUGGAGCUGCCCAGGUGGCGUCAGUGGGGGGUGCCGCCCUGGCCAUACCACACCGCUGUGCCGGCCAGCAGGGUGACCCCCCGGGUCCUCUCCUGGGUCUGAGCGCUCAUGCUGUCCUGCCUGGGAGGGGCAGCGUCGCUGAGGGGAGCUUGGAGCUGUUGGCCCUCAGCAGCCUUGGCUGGGCUAUGGAGCACAGGGAGAGGCUGCUGCUUCCCGCUCCCACCCUGCAGUCACGGGAACAGCGCUCUGCAGCCCUUGCAGGUGGUGGUGGUCCACGGCGCUGGGCCGUGUGGCCUCCGUCGAAACCCAUCCCCUCCGAAGCCUCAGUUUCUCUUUCCUGAGAGUUGGUGUUGGCCAGUGCUCACCGUGCCAGGCCCCUCGUCCAGUGCCGCUGCAUGGCUGCCUCUGCGUGGCCACUUGUCACUCUCAGGCCUGAAGUGUUUUUGAAGCAGGAGUCCCCACCCCAGGCCCUGAGGCCGCCUGACUGUGCUGGUCUGGAGGGGCACUUGGGCCUUGGCCUUCCCUGGGUGGCCGUGAGUGUGUACCCUGAGGCUGCUGGGGAGCCCGUGCCAGGCCCCUCGUCCAGUGCCGCUGCAUGGCUGCCUCUGCGUGGCCACUUGUCACUCUCAGGCCUGAAGUGUUUUUGAAGCAGGAGUCCCCACCCCAGGCCCUGAGGCCGCCUGACUGUGCUGGUCUGGAGGGGCACUUGGGCCUUGGCCUUCCCUGGGUGGCCGUGAGUGUGUACCCUGAGGCUGCUGGGGAGCCCUUCUGGCUGGGCUGCCCUGGACAGAAGGGCCUGCUCCAGAUCCCAGGUCCCUGCGAGAGGGGAUGUCCCCAGGGAGCCUGGGCGGCCCCCAGGCAGGGGCAGGGGUGGGCUCAGGCCCUGUCUUUCCCCUGGCCUGGGUCUGGGAGCCCCCAGGGAGUUGGGGAGGGUGGGAGACCCCUGAGGCCAUGAGGGCCCCCUCUGGGCAGCAUUCCCGUCCCUGCCUGCCUGGCUCGGUGGCUGUGAGGGUGUGGCAGGCCCUGCCUCCCUGUUAUCUGGUGGGCAUCAGCCCAGCGAGUGCUGUCAGGCUGGACUUUCCCACGUGCCCUGCCAUCUGACUCAUCAAGCUAACGCUGGGACUGUCUUGCUAAUUCAUUCAUCGACGAGCUGAUUCUGGAACUUUCUCCGGCUGGGAUCUGGGUCUCAGAGCAGGAAGGGAACUCGGCGGUCUCCUUAAUGCCGUGCAUGACACAGGUGGGGGAGCAGAGGCCUUCCGUGCACGGGGCUCGCUGUCCUCCCACCGGCCCGGUCUCUCUCUGCUCACACUGGGUGACCCUGGCCCAGCCUGCGUGGUGGCUCUGCCGGGUGCCGCAGUGGAUCUGCACGCUGGGCUGUCUGUCCUGGCGUGAGAGGCCGGGGCCCACUGUCCAGGCCACCUGAGGACCUGGCCAGGCCUGCGUCCUCUGUCUCCAGCCUGGACCAGGGUGCCCCAGUGGCUGGGACGGCUGUCAGUGGCCUGGAGGGAAGAUGCAGGUGACACACAAGGCCAGGGGUGCGGAGGGGCGGCAGCUCCUGGAGACUGAACGCCUGCUUCGCGCACCAUCCAUCAGGGCCGUCUGCGGCCGCCGCCCGCCAUUUGUGGGUAAUGAGCUCCCCGUGCUGUAAUUUGUGUUUCCUAAUUGUCGAGCAGUGCCUAAUGGCCCUGAUUAAAAUCGGAGGGACUCGGGGUGGUCCUUCUUUGGCAGCAGGCUGUCAGCACUGCUCCGGUGAGGCAGGACUAGGGCGCGAGUGAGCACGCUGGUUUUCCUUCCGGUGUGCGUGAGGAGGGUUCCUCGUGCCUGUCCCCGGCGUCCCUUCCUGCUGUCCCUGCUGAUCUUGCCUGUCUCCUGCCAUCCUCUUGUGACCUGCCCUGGGCAGCUUGGAGCUGCCGUCCAUGUGGCAGUGGGGCACUGUGCCCAUGUGCCCCUGGGGCCGCUGUGGCUCGGUGUGGGAGGGUGCAGCAGGCAGGCCACGCUUGUCCAUGGCCCGAGGUGGCCGAGGACACUGUGUCACCUGUCACCAGCCCCUCGGGUGGUGGGAGCAUCCUAGAUGCUGUGCCUGGCUGGGAUUCCCUAAGCCUCUCUGCGGACUCCACAUGUCUGUCGUUUCCAGAAACCCGAGGCCCGGCUUCCCUGACGCUGGCUGUCUGUAGUGGUGAGAGGUUGGGAGCCAUAUCCGACCUGGCCCUGCUGUGACCCUGUGGGACGUGAGUCCCCCCUGGGGCCUGCUCCUGGUGGGGGUGUGUGCCUGGGGUGCUGGCCACGCCAGGCUGUGGGCUCAGGGAGGACGGGCUCUCUGGGUAGGGGGCAGAGGCCCCAUGACUGAGCCUACAGUGGCUUCACGCCCCACCCUGCUUUCUGGCCAGAAGUGCCCACUAUAUGGUGCCGUUCUGGGCUGCAAGCUCCAUUUGGGUGAACCCUGUUGUCCUUAAUCGGAUGCAUUGUGUCCGCAGAGCACCCUCCUCCUGAGUGGCGGGCAUGGGUCCUCCUGCCUUGCCCUGUUCUGCCAGAGACUGGGUCCCUAGCGAUGGUGUCACUGGGCUGCAGCCCAGUGCCUGGGGACUUGUCACUCUGUCCCUGGCAGCCCUGGGAGCCCGGGAGCACAGCGUCUCCUCCCUUCAUUUCCUGCCUGUCUCCAGGGAGGCGGACACGUGCCCUGGGGGAACCCCCAGCUUCACACCUCUGGGGCUCCCAUCUGAGCACCGCGGGGCCCUCUGCACCCGACUCUGGAGGGAGGUGACCGAGGCGGUGGUUGGAUAGUCGCACACCCUCACCUCUGCACCCUGUGCCAAGGACUGAGUGCUGUUGCCACUCUGACGGGCACAGCGGGGCUGCUGACUGCCCGGCAUGGCCCGUGCUGCCACGUCCUGAGCAGUGUGUGGUGGUAGGCACCACCUCACCGACCCUUUGGUUUUCUUGUCCUUCAGGACUCUAGACCCGCAAGGGUGUUGCCAACCUCCCUCUGGAUGUCGAGCUGGUUACGGUGUCCUCCCUGGUCAGCAGGAGCUGAAGCCCAGGCCUUAGAGCAGCAGUGCGGAGCUGUGUGGGCCACAGGGUCCAGGUUAGGGCUCUUCAGGGAGCUGCGGCUGCUGUGGGAGUGAGCUUGUCCAGCCUGCGGUGGGCAGGGGCCGGGCCGUGGGCUCCACUGUCCCAGGCUGUGGCCCUACUUUGUGGACACCAGAGCUCAAGUCUCCAAUCCCUCAUGCUCCAGUGGGGGGAAACUGAGGCUGGAGAGGGCUGUGCCCUGCCCGGGUGGUCCUGGAGAGAGGAGGAGGCCAUGGUGUAGGGGUGCCGGCUUCUGUCUUGGGGGAGUGUGACCAGGCGCAGGUGCUGGGGUGCGGGGCCAGCGCACGGUGUGGGCUCCUGGCUGCAGGCCGACUGAGCCCCAGGCCUCGUGCAAGUGCUCUGUGCCCUUGCUGAGUCGGCUUGAGGUCCCUGCGUCACAGCCAGGGGACAGCGGCCGGGGAUGGUGGGCGUCUGGGGGACAGGGCCCU